rnacentral:rRNA from 1 species
GACAGAGGUGCCGAGCGUUAGGCGGAAUCACUGGGCUUAAAGCGUGUGUAGGUGGAUGCCUAAGUACCUUGUGAAAUCCCACGGCUUAACCGUGGAACGGCUUGGUAUACUGGGUGUCUUGAGCCAGCUAGGGGCUACCGGAACAAAUGGUGGAGCGGUGAAAUGCGUAGAUAUCAUUUGGAACGCCAAUGGUGAAAACAGGUAGCUGGGGCUGUGCUGACACUGAGACACGAAAGCCAGGGGAGCGAACGGG